AUUGAACGCUGGCGGCAUGCCUUACACAUGCAAGUCGAACGGCAGCACGGGUGCUUGCACCUGGUGGCGAGUGGCGAACGGGUGAGUAAUAUAUCGGAACGUGCCCUAGAGUGGGGGAUAACGUAGCGAAAGUUACGCUAAUACCGCAUACGAUCUAAGGAUGAAAGUGGGGGAUCGCAAGACCUUGCGCUAUACGAGCGGCCGAUGUCAGAUUAGCUAGUUGGUAGGGUAAAGGCCUACCAAGGCGACGAUCGGUAACUGGUCUGAGAGGACGACCAGUCACACUGGGACUGAGACACGGCCCAGACUCCUACGGGAGGCAGCAGUGGGGAAUUUUGGACAAUGGGGGAAACCCUGAUCCAGCAAUGCCGCGUGUGCGACGAAGGCCUUCGGGUUGU
rnacentral:rRNA from 1 species